UACGUAGGGUGCUAGCGUUGUCCGGAAUCAUUGGGCGUAAAGAGCGCGUAGGCGGCCUGAGAAGUCCGGUGUGAAAGUCAAAGGCUCAACCUUUGAAUGCCGCUGGAAACUGUCUGGCUAGAGUCCGGGAGGGGCGAGUGGAAUUCCUGGUGUAGCGGUGAAAUGCGCAGAUAUCAGGAGGAACACCAAUGGCGAAGGCAGCUCGCUGGAACGGUACUGACGCUGAGGCGCGAAAGCGUGGGGAGCGAACAGG
rnacentral:rRNA from 1 species